GCGAGAAAAGGAAAAAAUUGAAAAAGUCUGCUGAAAAGGAAACUCCGUUGCGAGACAAAAUCGGAAGAGGAGAGAACAAGAAACACUCUCUCAAGCUCGGUCCAGCUUCAUUGCUCGGGAUUUGCUGUAAUGGCGGAGAAGAUCUCUCAUCUCUCCCACACAUUAGAGCCGAAAAGGGAUGCAUAUGGGUUUGCUCUAAGGCCUCAACACUUGCAAAGAUAUAGAGAGUAUGCUAAUAUUUACAAGGAAGAGGAAGACGAAAGAUCAGAGAAAUGGAAAAACUUCCUCGAACAACAAGCGGACACAGCUCAAAAUUGCUGGUCUCAGAGAUUGCAUAAGGAGAGUUUGCCAAGUGGAGUAAGUGAGCACAGAGACGGGACGGUUUCAGACAGGCCUGCGGAAGGGGAUGAUCCAAGUGACAACAAGCCUUCUGAUAGUCGAAUUGGAAGUAGCCCUGAAAGGGAAGUUCAUUCCACAGAAAACUUAAGGUCUAGGGAGCACAAAGACAGGACGGUUUCAGACAGGCCUGCUGAAGGGGAUGAUCCAAGUGACAACAAGCCUUCUGAUAGUCCAAUUGGAAGUAGCCUUGAAAGGGAAGUUCAUUCUACAGAAAACUUAAGGUCUAGUGAGCAUAGAGACGGGACAGUUUCAGACAGGCCUGCGGAAGGGGAUGAUCCAAGUGACAACAAGCCUUCUGAUAGUUCAAUUGGAAGUAGCCCUGAAAGGGAAGUUCAUUCUACAGAAAACUUAAGGUCUAGUGAGCACAGAGACGGGACGGUUUCAGACCGGCCUGCAGAAGGGGAUGAUCCAAGUGACAACAACAAGCCUUCUGAUAGUUCAAUUGGAAGUAGCCCUGAAAGGGAAGUUCAUUCUACAGAAAAACUAAAGUCUGAUAAGGUGCCAAGAUGGGCAAAUAUUAGACCAGUCCUCGGUGCAAUUGAGAAUAUGAUGAGUUUCCGUAUCGAGAAAGCAAAAAAUGUGGAGGAUGACUUGAAAGGUGUAAAUGGUGCUCAUCUUCCAACAGUUGAUGAAGUAAGUCACUUGGGACAAAAUUCUGAAGACGAUAGUGAGGGAGAUGUCGAAAUUGAUGAGGCAUCAAAUGGCAGUACCCAUUCGUGCAAAGGAGAAAGAGCUGCUAGUGAAGGGACGCCCUUGGAAUCUUCUUUCCCGUGGAGAGAAGAACUAGAAUGUCUUGUUCGAGGAGGAGUACCCAAGGAUCUAAGGGGUGAGGUAUGGCAAGCCUUUGUAGGUGUAAGAACACGUCGAAUAGAGAGAUACUACCAGGAUUUGCUGGCACGAGAAGCUAGUGAUGACGAGGGGAAAGCGCUUGACAAUUCAUGUGAUGUACAACAGAAAUUGAAAAAGCAGAUUGAGAAGGAUAUACCUCGGACAUUCCCAGGACAUCCUGCUUUAGAUGAGAAUGGCAGAAACUCAUUGAGGCGAUUACUUAUAGCAUAUGCACGACAUAAUCCCUCUGUUGGAUACUGUCAGGCAAUGAACUUCUUUGCUGGUUUGUUAUUGCUUCUGAUGCCUGAGGAAAAUGCCUUUUGGGCUUUAGUAGGCAUCAUUGAUGACUAUUUUGGUGGGUACUACACAGAAGAAAUGAUAGAAUCUCAGGUGGACCAACUCGUUUUUGAGGAGUUGAUGCGGGAGAGGUUUCCCAAACUGGUUAAUCAUCUGGAUUUCUUGGGAGUGCAGGUGGCAUGGAUCUCCGGGCCAUGGUUUCUUUCAAUUUUUGUGAAUAUGCUUCCAUGGGAGAGCGUCCUCCGAAUAUGGGAUGUGCUUCUAUUCGAAGGGAAUCGCGUAAUGCUUUUCCGAACUGCUCUUGCUUUGAUGGAGUUGUAUGGUCCUGCAAUCGUCACAACCAAGGAUGCUGGUGAUGCAAUAACUUUGCUACAAUCUCUUGCGGGUUCCACAUUUGAUAGUAGCCAACUUGUUUUGACUGCUUGCAUGGGUUUCUUGGCCAUAACUGAAGCUCGACUCCAUAACUUGAGAGAAAAACAUCGUCCCUCUGUCCUAGAGGUGGUUGAGGAAAGAUCAAGAAAGGGACGAGUGUGGAAGGACUCUAAAGGGCUUGCCACGAAACUAUACAGUUUUAAGCACGAUACUCCAUCACUUGUCAAAGAAACAAAAAGCAUUGAAAGGCCAGAAGAUGUAGCUGCGGAUGCAGAUGCGUCUCAUUUGGACAAUUCCUCCCACCUGGAAGAUCUUCUUGGUGGCUUGGCUGUUGAUUCAGAAGUUGAUUCUCUGCCAGAUCUCCAAGAACAGGUUGUUUGGUUGAAGGUUGAAUUAUGCAGGUUGCUGGAGGAGAAGAGAUCUGCCAUACUCAGAGCGGAGGAACUGGAGACCGCGCUUAUGGAGAUGGUGCAGCAGGACAAUCGGCUUCAAUUGAGUGCGAGGAUGGAGCAGCUGGAACAAGAGGUUACUGAACUAAGGCAAGCCCUUGCUGACAAGAAAGAACAAGAAACGGCAAUGCUUCAGUCAUACUUUUAGGUCCUGAUGCGGGUAGAGCAAGAGCAGAGGGUAACUGAAGAUGCUCGCAUUUGUGCGGAGCAAGAAGUUGCUGCUCAGAAAUAUGCAGUUCAUGUACUUCAGGAAAAAUAUGAGAUUGCUAUGAUUUCCCUGGCUCAAAUGGAAAAGAGGGUGGUCAUGGCAGAAUCCAUGCUGGAGGCCACCUUGCAGUAUGAAUCUGGCCAGAAUAAAGCACAGCAGUCUCCAGGGUACAUGAGUGACUCACAUAACGUCACCUUUAUGUUUGCAUAUGCACUCUUUCCUCCCUCCUUGUCCCCUCUUUACCAUCCAUCAUCGUUUCUGGAUAGUCACACAAAAUGGACUCAUUUUUAUUCCAACACGUGGUGAUCCACAAGUGAACGUUUGGAUACACGUAUUACUUGUGGGGAGUGUAGACAGAAACGCGUCAUCUCUCAUUUUGUUAUCCAAGUAAUGCUGUAAGGUGCUUCACCCUUAAAAGAGAGAGAUUAUAAAGUCCAGUGGGAAAGUAGAAGUGUAUAAAUUAUCAUGCACCUGUCCGGUCUUCCUCUACUCGUCUUCUUUUCUUUUGCUCUGCCUUGGGUUGGGGGUCUCUCACAAAGACCACAAAUUUACCAAGGAAGAUGACAUAUAGCACAGCUCUAAUGUUCUGAACUUUUGACUGAUGAUGUCUCUAAAGGUUUAUUUAUGUUAAUACCGCACUCCUGAAAUGAAGUGGCGACUCUAUCAACAUGUGAAGUGCCUAUAAACAUACCUUGCACAAGUAAAGGAGAACAUAAUUUUUUUCUCAUCAAGCGUUUUGCUUUCAAGUGAUUUGAUGCCUAACAAAGGUAGGCUUGUAGGUCUGCCCGCAGUCAGAGCUCUGCGCAGGAAACUCCCGCAAGAAGGAUAGGCCUUUUUGGACUUGGCUGGCGUGACA